rnacentral:lncRNA from 1 species
GAACAAGCAGCUUAUGUUGUCGGCUUACAGUCUCACUAACUAUUACCUUGCAGUCCUUGCAUUCACGUAAUAAUAUAUUUAAAAAUUGUGACUCAAGAAUAAUUAUGAAAUAUACUAGAAACAAUUUUAAAGUUUGUUUGGGUUUAUAUGAAAUUUUAAAGUUACAUAACAACACGACCUUAUGUAGAAUAUAAUACAAUACUGAUAACAGUGAUAACAUUGUUCAGAUUAUUAAUAAUAUGAAAUAUUUACUUCGAUUCUAUGAAAUCGACUCACAGGAUUUUCCACAAUAUAAUGUUCAACUUGUUUAUUUUAUUAUUGCAUAGAUAGCAUUGUAUUGAUAUUGUCAAUUGCAUUUUAUUUACAGAGAACAGAUAAAACGUGUGAAACUGAUUGUGUGUGCAUGAUAAACUUCAGUAUUCGUCAAAAUAAAUAGUAUCUAAAGUUGAAAUUGUAUUUAUUGUUUAAUUUACAUAAUUGACAUGUUGAAAAAUGUGCAGCAUUGCGGCACAAACAAGCUUCCUAAAGAUUUCGGAGAUUAUUCAAUUCAACAUAUACAUUGUUGAAAACAGGUUAUUACUUAUAAGCCGGGUCUUCACUGGGAAAAAUUUGAGUGCUCGAAGUGUACUGUUCUUAUUUUAGUGGGUAAUAUGACAGAUUACCAAAGUGAACCAGGAACGUCUUCAUCUGCUAAUGGAAGAAUCGCUAGUUGAUAACAUCAAAAAAACGAUAACUUUGGAUUUUUUAGUCGUAAAAAAUGUAAUACAUUUUUAUGCUUGAAAAAUGUCGUAAUAAGUGAAAUAAAUAAACUAUUUGUUAA